rnacentral:piRNA from 1 species
UGGCACGGGUGCUAGAGGAUGCUUCAUGU